rnacentral:rRNA from 1 species
AGUUUGAUCCUGGCUCAGAACGAACGCUGGCGGCAUGCCUAACACAUGCAAGUCGAACGAAGGCUUCGGCCUUAGUGGCGCACGGGUGCGUAACGCGUGGGAAUCUGCCCUUGGGUUCGGAAUAACAGCGGGAAACUGCUGCUAAUACCGGAUGAAGACGAAAGUCCAAAGAUUUAUCGCCUGAGGAUGAGCCCGCGUUGGAUUAGGUAGUUGGUGGGGUAAAGGCCUACCAAGCCGACGAUCCAUAGCUGGUCUGAGAGGAUGAUCAGCCACACUGGGACUGAGACACGGCCCAGACUCCUACGGGAGGCAGCAGUGGGGAAUAUUGGACAAUGGGCGAAAGCCUGAUCCAGCAAUGCCGCGUGAGUGAUGAAGGCCUUAGGGUUGUAAAGCUCUUUUACCCGGGAUGAUAAUGACAGUACCGGGAGAAUAAGCCCCGGCUAACUCCGUGCCAGCAGCCGCGGUAA